GAUGAAGAACGUAGCGAAAUGCGAUAAGUAAUGUGAAUUGCAGAAUUCCGUGAAUCAUCGAGUCUUUGAACGCACAUUGCGCCCCCUGGUAUUCCGGGGGGCAUGCCUGUCCGAGCGUCAUUGCUGCCCUCAAGCACGGCUUGUGUGUUGGGCCUCCGUCCUCCUCCCGGGGGACGGGCCCGAAAGGCAGCGGCGGCACCGCGUCCGGUCCUCGAGCGUAUGGGGCUUCGUCACCCGCUCUUGUAGGCCCGGCCGGCGCUUGCCGACACAUCAAUCUUUUUUCCAGGUUGACCUCGGAUCAGGUAGGGAUACCCGCUGAACUUAAGCAUAUCAAUAAGCGAGGA
rnacentral:misc_RNA from 1 species